CAGCCGCUUACGCGUGACCUUUACGCCCGGCUCCCACCACGUCCGCUGGAUCCGCAGCGUCCCGGACGGCCGGUCGAACUUCGGGUCGACCCGGCCGAUGAACCGGUCGUCCUCCAGGACGGCCAUCGCGUAGUAGCCGUGCUUGCGCUGGCCGGCGGGGACGAAACCUUCGAAGCGGAAAUCGAAGUUGAACAGCCGUUUCGCCC
rnacentral:misc_RNA from 1 species